rnacentral:tmRNA from 1 species
GGGGGCGAAACGGGUUCGACGGGGAUAAAGAAGCUUAAGUCGCAUAUCGAGGUUCUACUCGCUCGUUAAACGGGUGGAAUAAACACAAACGCAGACGAUUACGCGUACGCUGUAGCCGCGUAACAAUUUUAGGCUACCGACCAUUUCAGUCUUUCCUGCGAGGCAGAAAUGGUCGUCGAUAAAGCAGGAUAGCUGAUAUGAUUCACCUGUAGAUCGUUGACGCGAAACCUUUAUACGGGUCAGCCUUCAGGGACAUCGCCCGGUAGGAAACUGAAGGUUAAACUCUUAUACCGGGAUAUGUAUGUAGAAGCUUAAGCGGAAUAUUUUCGGACGGGGGUUCGACUCCCCCCGCCUCCACCA